CAGAGACUGCAAGCGUUAUUCGGAUUCACUGGGCGUAAAGGGUGCGCAGGCGGUCGUGUGUGUCAGAUGUGAAAUCCCGGAGCUUAACUCCGGAACUGCGUCGGAAACUACACGACUAGAGCAUUGGAGAGGGAAGUGGAAUUCAUGGUGUAGCAGUGAAAUGCGUAGAUAUCAUGAGGAACACCAGAGGCGAAGGCGACUUCCUGGACAAUUGCUGACGCUCAGGCACGAAAGCAUGGGGGAGCAAAAGGGAUUAGAUACCCCUGUAGUCCAUGCCCUAAACGGUGCACACUAGGUCUUGGAGGAUUCGACCCCUUCAGGGCCCAAGCUAACGCGUUAAGUGUGCCGCCUGAGGACUACGGUCGCAAGACUA
rnacentral:rRNA from 1 species